GGAAGAUUGUAAUAUGGAAUGUUGUUCAAGUCCUUUGGUGUAGGAGGGCAACAACUAUAUUCUACUAGAUCUUUACUCCCCGUUUUCGUGGCUUUACUACAUGAUUUCAGAUUAGGCGGCGGUAUAGGAGAAGAAAAGGCUAAUGGUGCAAGAUUGGAAGCACUGUAGAGCCCUCCUAAACCAAGAAGCACAUUUCUCCUAUCGAUAUUUGCUUUAAUAUUUUGGUCGUGCUCAUUAGCAUUGCAUGAGACGUGGAAACUUUGACUACGCCUUCUCUUCAACAAAUGCGGAGAAUAAGGUUUUGCAAAGAAUGAUGAGAGUGUUGUAUGUUGAGCAUAGUGAGACUGAUGAGCUGUUAUAUGAGUUAGUCAGAUUAAACAGUAAAUGUCAUGAAGUUAGUUAGCUGUUAGUUACUAGUUAAACUGUGGUUAGUUUAUAAUUAACAAGAUUAGAUGGUUAAAGUAGAUCCAAUUAUACACACUAUAUAUAGUGGUGUAGAUAUUUUGUUAAAAGAUAAUUCUGUACAGAAUAUUCAAUACAUUUUCUGUUUCUCUUCUUCUUAAUCACUGUUCUUCACAUUCUUAUCAUGGUAUCAGAGCUUCAGAUCCAUUGACGAUCUCCGUUUUUCAGUACAGUAGAUAGCUUGUUGCAUUGUAAAAAAGGCAGAUCGUGGAAAAUCUUGAAAUUUUAGUUUUACAACAAUGGCAUCUAAUCCCAAUCCAGAAAUCACUUCCAGUUCUAUGCAAGGAGGACAAAUUGUAUUCGAUGCACAUCAUCCCUUACAUCUUCAAGCUUGCGACACUCUAGGUAGUUCUUUGGUUUCUAUUCAGUUGACUGUAUCUGAAAAUUACGCUUUGUGGAGUAGAUCAAUGAAAAUAGGUCUACUAGGUAAAGGUAAAUUGGGAUUUGUUAAUAGCAAAUGCUCUAAGAGUUCAUUUCCUGCUUCACUUCAUGAUCUAUGGGAUAAAUGUAAUGCCAUAGUACUCUAUUGGAUCAUGAUAUCUAUUAUAAGUAGGGAGUUACUUAGUGGUAUAGUGUAUGCUAGCAAUGUUCAGCAGGUGUGGAAUGAUCUAAAGGAAAGGUUCGACAAAGUAGAUGGUUCUAGAAUUUUUUUUCUUCACAAAGAGAUUGCUACUAUGACUCAAGGAGUAUUAUCAGUUUCUAGCUAUUACUCUAAGCUGAAGGAGCUUUGGAUGGAGUUUGAUUCCCUUAUGCCUUGUCCUAGUUGUGCAUGUGAAGUGUCUAAGACCUAUGUUGUUCAUUUCGAAUAUCAGAGGUUAAUGCAAUUUCUUCUAGGGUUGAAUGAAUCAUAUAAUCAGUGUAGAAGUCAAAUCAUGAUGAUUGAUCCUACACCAGGUGUGAACAAGGCUUACUCAUUAGUAAUGGCUGAAGAGUGUCAGAGAGUACUUGGUAAAUCGAAUAUAGUAGGGACUGAAGGCACUAACUCUAUUAAUUCUAGGCAAUUGACUGAAGCAAUGGCAUUUUUCAGUAAUGGAAAGGGGUUUACUAGAUCAUGAGGACCUACAAAUCAGUCUGGAGGGUCUACUCAGUCUGGAGGAUCCACUCAGUAUGGAUCAAGUUUUAGACCUCAGAAAUCUCUUAACAACAAUUUGUAUUGUGAUUAUUGCAACUGGAAGGGCCACACUAGAGCUGUGUGUUUUAGAUUGCAUGGGUACCUUGCUAACUGGAAAGGUAAGAAGAGGACUAACCCUGGUCCUAUCACUGCUGCCAACCUUGUAAGAGCAAAUUCUCCUAGCAAUGGUAAUGCUAGUUUCAUGGAUUUUCAGUCUAGUUCAGGGUUUCCUGGUCAAGUUUUUACUACUGGGAACAGUUCAGGCAACUAUCAGAUUCAUCAACCUCCUUCGUUAUUAGGAAGUACUUCCUACUCAAAUUCUUCCCCUGCUCUUAUGACUAACAUACAGCCCUACCAGUAUCAGACUACACAGUGGCCAUAUCUAGUGCAGCAGCCAUCUCCUCAUCAAUACUUGCAAAUGCCACUGGAACUUAAAAAAACUACCAGUAAUGCUGCUGGAAGAGCAUCAGGUAUGUUAAACUGUUCUAUUUAUCCAAAUGUUGUUGACAAAUGGAUAGUAGAUUCAGGAGCCUCCAAGCAUAUGGUCAAUGCUCUUCACUUGUUAACUUACUCUAUUACUCUUCAUGAUUCCCUUGAGGGUAAAGUACACUUACCUACUGGUAGUUUAGCUAAGGUCAGUCAUAUUGGUUGUUCUCAGAUACUUGGAGGGAUUGAGAUCACCAAUGUACUGUAUGUUCCUGAGUUCAAGUAUAACUUGCUCUUUGUGCCAAAGUUAACUAAGGAGUUGAAUUGCUGUGUUCUUUUCUAUCCUGAUCACUGUGUAUUUCAGGAUCUCUCCAGUGGAAAGGUGAGGGGGAUUGGCAAGUUGGAGAAUGAUUUGUAUGUUCUUCAGGCUGAUUGUCAAUUGAAGUCACCAGCAACAGUUUCUUUGUCAUCAGCUUAUGCAGUUUCCACUCCUACAUCAUGUGUCUCAUCACCUCCUAUAGCUCUUGUUAACAAGAAUGUCUCUCUAUGGCAUAAAAGGCUGGGCCAUGUUCCAUUUACUACUCUUAAAAUGCUUGGAUGUUUCAAAUCAUUGUCGUCCAAGUCUGAUACACUUUGUACUGUAUGUCCUUUAGCUAAACAAUCAAGACUUUCUUUUCCAUUGAGCAGUAUCACAACUACUACUUGUUUUCAUACUUUACAUGCUAUGGGGUCCUUAUAGAGUGCCUACUCAUGAUCAUAAAAGUUAUUUUCUCACGAUUGUGGAUGAUUGUUCCCGAUAUAAUUGGUUAUUUUUGUUAAAUUCCAAGUCUGAAGUAAUUGUAGAGCUUAGAAAUUUUCUUGCAAUGAUCAGGAAUGUAUUUUCUGCCAGUAUAAAGAUUUUAAGGACUAAUAAUGGGUGUGAGUUUUUUAACUCGCAAGUGGCUUCUUUACUCCAGUCACUAGGUAUUCUUCACCAAAGUUCUUGUAUCUACACUCCACAACAAAAUGGAGUCGUCGAACGAAAGCAUAGACAUAUUUUAGACACAGCCAGAGCACUGAGAUUUCAGGCUAGUUUGCCACUCAGAUUCUGGGGAGAAUGUGUUCUUACCAGUGUAUAUCUCAUCAACAGAAUUCCCUCUCAAGUUCUUAAAGGGAAGACUCCGUAUGAUGUUUUAUUUCAAUCAUCACCACCCCUUGAUAACUUAAGGGUGUUUGGAUGCCUUGCUUUUGCUAUAGAAGUCAGAAAAGUGAAUAAAUUUGCCUCCAGAGCAGCUCCUGCUGUUUUUCUUGGUUAUUCAGCAUUGCAAAAGGGAUACAUAUUAUAUGCCCUGCACACUAAGGAGUUUUUCGUGAGUAGAGAUGUGGUGUUUAAGGAGGAUAUCUUCCCAUUUCAGUCUAUGCAUUUAGAUAUAUCUCCCCUAUUUCCUGUUUUGCAGUCUAUUGAGUUGUGUGACUCAACUCCUUUAUGCUUUCAUGUUGCUCCUACUGUAACUGAUAGAAGUUCCUCUGGUAUUACUCUUGCAUCUGAGCAUGCUGAACAUGCUCCUGUAGCUCUUACUGAUGAGCCAGCUCAAGUUCUAGUUCCUUCUAUUGCUGAUCCUUCUAUUUCCCCUACUGCAUCUCUUCCUAGUAGGAGAUCUUCUAGAAACAUCAAACCACCUUUUUGGAUGCAUGACUUUAUUACUACUCAGCCUAAGUCUAAAUGCUUGUAUCCAAUGUCAAAUCAUGUUAGUUAUGCCCAUCUUUCUGGUGUCUAUGGAGAAGCUUUAGCUGCUUAUUCUAGUAUUAUUGAACCUACUUCCUUUGCUGAGGCUGCUGGUCAUCCUAAAUGGGUAGAGGCUAUGAGAUCAGAAAUUGCAGCAUUAGAAGAUAACCACACUUGGAGUCUUACUGAGUUACCUCCAGGGAACCAACCUAUUGGAUGCAAGUGGGUCUUUAAAGUUAAAUAUCUCACCUCAGGUGCUGUUGAAAGGUAUAAGGCCCGACUGGUUGCAAAGGGUUUUAGUCAAAAAGAGGGCUUAGAUUACUCAGAGACUUUUUCUCCUGUUGCCAAAAUGGUUACCGUAAGAUCAGUCUUGGCUGUGGCUGCUGCCAGACAUUGGUCUGUGUUUCAAAUGGAUGUGCACAAUGCAUUUUUGCAGGGUGAUCUUCCUGAGGAUGUCUAUAUGGUUAUACCACCUGGUUUUUGCAGACAGAGGGCGACUGGCAAAGUCUGCAAACUUCACAAAUCCUUAUAUGGUCUAAAACAGGCACCAAGACAAUGGAAUCUUAAACUAACUGAAGCUUUAGUUCAGUUGGGAUUUGUUCAAAGCCAUUAUGAUUAUUCCCUUUUUACCAAGAAAGUAAAUAAGGAGUUGAUAGUGGUGCUUGUGUAUGUAGAUGAUCUACUUGUGACUGGCAGCUGUAGUAACUUGAUUGUGCAGACUAGAAAUGAUCUUAAACUCAAGUUCAAAAUGAAGGAUCUGGGAGAACUAAAAUUCUUCCUUGGUAUUGAAUUUGCUAGGUCUAAGGAGGGGUAUGUAAUGAGCCAGCGCAAGUAUGCCUUGGAGUUGAUAUCUGAGAUGGGUUUAAGUGGAGCCAAACCAGUGUCUACACCUCUGGAUCCUAAUCUUAAGCUAACAUCCAUUGAGUAUGAUUUACACGUGCAAGGAUCAGGAACUACUAUAUCAGACAGGCCCUUAAAGGAUGUUGGCAGAUACCAAAGAUUAGUGGGAAGGUUGUUGUACUUAACUAUGACCAGAGUUGAUAUCUCAUUUGCAGUACAGACAUUAAGUAAAUUUAUGCAUGCUCCUAAAGAAUCCCAUAUGGAAGCUGCUCUAAGGGUGGUCAAAUAUAUCAAGACAGCUCCUGGACUUGGUUUGUUUAUGCCUGCUCAAAGUUCAGAACUUCUGACUGUAUAUUGUGAUUCAGACUGGGGUACUUGUGUAUAAACAAGAAAGUCUGUAACUGGAUAUUUAGUAAAAUUUGGAGAUGCACUUAUCACCUGGAAAUCAAAAAAGCAAGAGACUGUUGCCAGAAGCUCUGUUGAAGCUGAGUUCAGGAGUAUGGCUUCAGCAGUUGCAGAAAUAACUUGGCUAAUUGGAGUGUACAAGGAACUAGGGGUGACUAUCAAACAACCAGUGGAUCUAUUCUGUGACAGCAAGGCUGCAAUACAAAUUGCAGCCAAUCCCAUUUUUCAUGAAAGAACUAAACACUUUGACAUUGAUUGUUACUUUGUCAGAGAAAAACUAACUCAGGGUAUGAUUAAGACUCAUCAUGUAUCCACCAGAGAUCAGUUAGCAGAUCUUCUUACAAAAGGGUUAUGGAAGGCUCCUCAUCUGCACUUAAUGGCCAAGCUGAGUUUAAAAGACAUCUUUCAGCCAUCAGCUUGAGGAGGGGUGUUGAGCAUAGUGAGACUGAGGAACUGUUAUAUGAGUUAGUUAGGAUGAACAGUAAAUGUCAUGAAGUUAGUUAGCUGUUAGUUACUAGUUAAACUGUGGUUAGUUUAUAAUUAACUAGACUAGAUGGUUAAAGUAGAUCCAAUUAUACACACUAUAUAUAGUGGUGUAGAUAUUUUGUAAAAGAUAAUUCUGUACAGAAUAUUCAAUACAUUUUCUGUUUCUCUUCUUCUUAAUCACUGCUCUUCACAUUCUUAUCAUUGUAGUAGUGAGAGUUUUGCUACUCUGGUCAUCAAGACUUAAACAGAUAGAAUUAAUGGAAGAUGAAGAAGCCAUUGAGUGAUUGUUGUGAUUCGUAUCAUCUAUUAAAUAAAAGUGAAUAAAAUAAUCAUAAAGUUACAUAAAAACAAAAAAACAAAAGCUAUUGCAUUUCUGACCUUACGUGUCCACAUAAGACAUGACAGUAUGCUAAAAUAUAAUGUCACCAACAAAAAAGAUAAACAAGAAAGAUAAUGAAAACCCAUAAAAUAAGUACUACUAAUAAGAGAUAAUAAAAAUGAACAAGGAUUAUGUGGAUUUUAUUUUUACUGAAUGGUUAUGAAUUAUAAUUCUGUAAAGACUUAAUUGUAUCCUCAAAGAAAUUGUAAGUGUUAUAAAUUGUAAUAUUGUAAAUAUCUAUCUUGUAUGUUGCUUUGAGAAAAGUUUGAGACUAAAUGAAGGAACAUUUUAGAAAUAUAUUAUUAUCUAACUUCUUUUGCAAAUGUAUAGCUCAAAACUUACAUUAUAAAUAUUUAGCCCAAAACACAAUUCGGUAUAUAAUAUUAUAUAUUUAGUAUACUUUAAUAUACAAAUUUAUAUUUUAUUUUUUACAAAACUAUUUAAAAACUUGAUUUACACUAUUAUACACUCAAUAUAUAAUAUUAUACAAAAUCAUAAGAGAUAUUUGUACAUCCAUAUACAAUAAUAUAUCACAAAAUAUAAAAUUAUAAGAGAUAUUUAUACACUCAUAUAAAAUAAUAUAUGUUAUCAUGUAAAAUACGAAUUUCGUCUUUUUUCUUGAAUCCAAGCAUUUGAUUCAUCCAAAAGCACCUCUAAACUACAUCAAAUCAUCCAAAAUUUCAUUUUAGGCUCCUCAAUACACAUUCAAUCUUUUGCAACAAUAUCCACUCGAAUUGGAGCUUAUUUGCGAAAAUUCAAUUUUCAAAUUUUGAAGCUUCGAUUUUCAACAUUAGAUGUCUGUGCCUCCAACGAAAUGUCAAUUCUCCUUAAUAGUAACUCCCAUAACGGAGAUAAAAUAAAGAUUUAAUUUAAAAUUUCUCUAAGACUAGGUACCAUUAUCAAUCACUCAGUUAUACACAUAUAUGAGACAUUCAUUUCACUCCAAAAAAAGCAAAACAAACAAAUCUGUUAUUUACUGUCACCAUAGUUGAGAGAGAGAGAGAGAGAGUGUUUUGGGUGUGCAGGGAAGAGAGAUAUUGUUAGGUUAGUGGCUAAAUUUGGGUAAGUUUAAAUAGCUUGUCUAUUUUGACAAUGUAUUUGGAAUUUGGAUCAAUGGUACUUUGAAGUAAUUCUCUCUAUAAAUAAAGAAAUUUUCUUUUAUUAUAAUCAAUCUUCAAGAAAAAAUAAGAAGUGUUGUUUCUUCUCGCUACUAUAUUCUUUUUCUUCUUUUUAUUUUAUAGUUUUAUAACAUAUUGUCAAUAUAAAUCUCAUAAACUAAAGUUGAUUUUAAUUUUAUAAAGGGAAAAGGGUCUGAUAUAUCCCUCGUUAUAAAAGUGGCUUAUAUAUAUCCUUAUCAUUAUACAAAUGACUCACAUAUAUCCCUACCGUUACAAAAGGAGUUCACAUAUACCCUUUAUCUAACAGAAGUGAAAAAAUUAGUUUUAAAUUUAUAUUUUUACUCUUACUUUUAAAAAAAUCAUGUAGGGUGUUCAAGGUAUAUUUUCAUCCUUUUCAUACAUAAAUUAUUUUUUGACUUCUUCGAUUAUCAUUAUUUGAGUUUCUUGUUCUUAUUUUAUUUUUUUCUUUCAUUUUUGGCUAUAUUAUAAUUUUAAACUAUUUUUUUCCGGUUAUAUUGUAAUUUAGUUUUUGUAUUUAUAUAUAAAAAAAAGAGGCAUCUACGAUAGAUUUUUACAAGAAAAUUAGUGAAACAUAAAUAAAUAUAACCACCAAAAUAAUAAAUUUAAAUUAGUCGUUAAAACAAAAAAAAAGUCAAAAAAAUAAGGUGCGAGGAUGAUUAAAUAUGCCCCAUAUGGAUUACAUAUAUAUUUUUUAAAAAUAAUUAAAAAAUUAAAUUAAAAUUAUCUUUUUCACUUCCGUUAGAGGAAAAAGAUAUAUGUGAGUCAUUUGUAUAACAGUAGAAGUAUAUAUGAGCCACUUUCAUAACACAAGAUAUAUCAGCGCUCUAAAUAACAAAAUUGAAAGAUAUAUCAGACUUUUUUUUCCUUUUAUCAAUCAUCAAAACACAAAUCACAUGUGAUACAAACAUGACUGGGAUAAAUAAUUAUCUUCCGUGCAAUAAAACAGAUGCUUUGAAUUAUUAUUUUUUACUCCAAUAAAUAGUACUACUAUAUUUUAUCUAGUUUUUAAAUACAUUUUCGAUUCAAUUUAUUUAUCUUAGUCAUUGUGUAUAUAUAUUUAGAAAUUGCAAGCAUAUUUUCAAUGUUAUAACAUUUUUAAAUACUUUCUAAAUAUUUUAGAUUGUUAAUCAUGGUAAGUUGUAACAUAUAAUAAUUUUAUCUAAUUUUAAAGUAUACAAAAAAUAGAAAAUUAUAUACCAAUUUUAUACCAAACAUUAGUUAAUGUGACCGUUGUCUCUCUCAAAAUAUCUCUACGGGCCUCGCCCACCUACCACCACACAUCUUAAUUUUUGAGUUUGGACCUUUUUGGCAGAUAAAAAUCAUAUUCAUUUUCCACUUUAAAACACACACAGACACAAAUAAUAAAUAAAGAAAACCUAUUGAAUUUUAUUUUUUUGUAGGAUUUAGGUUUACUGGUGAGAUCGAUUGAUUUGGUUCGCUUUUAUGUAGAAUUGGUUAAGUUUAUUAAUUUUAAAUUUAUAAAUAUGUUAAAUUGAUAAUCAUAUUAAUUAUCAAUUUUCAGUCAAUCCAUUUCGAAUCUAAAUAUACAAAUUAAUGUUCUAUUUAACUCACCCUCCUCUAAUUUGUUUUACAUUUUUAUUUUUAUGAAAUAAAUGUCAAAAACACACCUACACUAUCCCCUUUUUUUUAUUUUCAUACCCAAACUAUUGGAAGUGUGAGUUUCAUACUUAAACUAUCACUUAUUAGUUCGAGAAACACAUCUCAAUGGUGUGUGUAAUACACUCUCUUUUAUUUGAAAAAACCUUAACACAUGACAUGCCACAUGGAUAAAAUAUUUCACAUUGACUAAAAUUAAAUAAUAAACUAUUAAUAUUAAUUAAAAAUUAAAGAUUAAAGUACUACUAUCCCAAAAAAUAUAAUUUUUUUAAAAAUAAAAUUUAAAUUAUUUUUCUUAUCCCACUCCACUACCUCCUCCCCGUACCCCAAUAAUCCCCCAUCCANNNNNNNNNNNNNNNNNNNNNNNNNNNNNNNNNNNNNAGUUUAUACCCAAACUAUUGGAAGUGUGAGUUUCAUACUUAAACUAUCACUUAUUAGUUCGAGAAACACAUCUCAAUGGUGUGUGUAAUACACUCUCUUUUAUUUGAAAAAACCUUAACACAUGACAUGCCACAUGGAUAAAAUAUUUCACAUUGACUAAAAUUAAAUAAUAAACUAUUAAUAUUAAUUAAAAAUUAAAGAUUAAAGUACUACUAUCCCAAAAAAUAUAAUUUUUUUAAAAAUAAAAUUUAAAUUAUAAAAUUGGUAUUAUUUUAUUUUUAAAAAAAAAAAAUUCUACCUCAUCAUAUUAACCCUCUGUUCUUACUUUAUUUAUUUAUCUUAAAUUUUUCUCGUUUUGUGUUACAUAUGUAUAUAUAUAUUUUUAGGAUUUUUUUCUACUUGUGUACCGAAUAUAACAUAAAUAAAAAUUUUAUUUUAAAAAAAGUCUUGUGACGGCAAAUAAAAAAUAUUUUUGAUAUGUAUAUCUAACACAAAACGAGAAAAUUUUUUGGAAGCGGAGGGUUAUGUGGAGUGGGUAGAGUUAUUAUUAUUAUUUUUUAAAAUAAUAUCUAAAUUAGUAUUUGUGGGGGGGGAGGGGGGGGUCGGACGGUUAGAGGAAGUGAUGGAGUGGAUAAGAAAAAUAUUUUACAUUUUAUUUUAUAAAUUUUUUUUUUUUUUGGAUAAUAAUUUUUUAAUCUUUCAUUUUAACUAAUAUCAUUAAUUUAUUUAUUUUUUGUCAAGGCGAAAUGUUUUGUCAUCUGGAGUGUGAUGUGACAAUUUUUUUUAAAUAAAAGAGAGUGUAUUACAUACACCAUGAUGAGAGUGGUAUAAAAGAGAGAGAUGUGUUUCUCAAACUAAUAGGUAAUAGUUUAGGUAUGAAAUUCACACUCUCAAAAAUUUAGGUAUGAAACUAAAAAAAAGGAGAUAGUUUAGGUGUGUUUUUGACGCUUAUCUUUAUUUUUAUUCAUAUAUACACUACCUUCAUGCGUAAAGCUGUCAAAAAGGGCCGGCCCAGCCCAGCACCCAGUCCAAGCCUCGCGAGCCAGGGAAUUUGUAGGGGUAAUGAGGGCCGGUCCAGCCCAAGCCUCGCGGGCCAAGGAAAUUGAAGGGCUAGUGCGGGCCGAGGGCAAUGGCAGGCUAGCCAUUCUUUUUUUUCACUUUUUUCUUUUCAAACUUAUGUUCUAUAACAUCAAAAAAAUGAGAAGAUUUUCAAAUCAAAUAUGGCAAACUAUGGUGUUGUCUCAAUAACACUAACGAAAAAUCUAGUGUAAUUAGCAUAUAUCUCUCAUACCAAAUACUCGAGCGAGAUAAGAAAGUGACAAGCAAGAUGGGAGGGAGGCAAGGGCACGAGAUUUGUCUAUGUAUCCUAGAUACAUGCGAAUCUACUUGGAUAGAGUAUAUCUAGAACAAAUUAACCUAGUUUUGAGUCUAUAUAUUCCGAGAUACAUGUAUUUGGACGUACCAAUCUAGUAAGAUUUAUAAUAUUACAACAUAAGUAUAUUUAAGUAAUUAGAUUAUAUAUUAGUGAGAUUAUUGUAAAUUACCUUUAAAUAAAAAGUUUUGGCCCAUGGACCGACUCCGCCACGAUCCCGAUUAAGCCUCAAGGGAAAAGGGCUUAUAUGGGCCGGGCUUAUAAGCCCUAGUUUUAAAUAGGCUUGAAAAAUUAUAUUCCAACCCUACCCCAAUAACGGGUUGGAUUGGACCGGCCCCAUGGGCUAAACCCAUUUUGACGGCUCUAUUCCUGCGUAAAAGUGUGCAUAAUUACAAGUAAAAAUAAAUUCAAAUUCGUUAAUGCUAAAGUAAAUUAGUUUUCUUAAUUUCUUGUUAAGUAGCACCGUAUCAAUUUAUCAAAAUGAAAAAUAACACACCAAACAAAUGAAUUUAGAAAGAAGACAAUAACACCAAGUCAACAACUAUAAAAAUCCAAAAGAAAAUAGGAUCUGCAUUUAAAAUUUAAAGUCAUUAUUAUAUAGUUAAGGAUACAAACAUAAUUUUAAUAUAAUCUUAUUGAAUUAUGGAUUUAUCAUUAACAAAAAUUUUAAACUGAAAAUUGAAUUAGUAACCUAACCAAAAAAAUACAAAACCAUUUCAAAACUAUUUAACUCAAUAUCGAUAAAUUAAUAAUAUUACAGUUUUAACGGAUUAUUGCGUUAUGCAUUAUUAAAAACUAAAGCCGAAAUAACUGGACAAUUUAUUAUUAUUUUUAUAAAACUAUUUAAAAUUCGUUAAAUAAUAACAAUGAUUCAAUAACAUUUCUUUUUAUUCAAUUUGUUGAUCGGCUUAGGUCCCCCACCACCAACAUGAAUGUGAUUUCAUGUUUUGUCCAUUCUUUCUGUCCGCAUUUACUUUUUUCGCAUUUAUUACUCCCUCAUAUAAAAAAGUGACUUUUAGUGAUAAUUAAUUUUUCUUUUAGCGGUAAUAUUUAUUGCUAUAAAUACAUUUAUCAGUAUUUGAUUAAAUGUCAUUGGACUCAAUGUCGUUAAAGUCUUUAGGGUUUAGAGUUUAGGAUUUAGGGUAAAGACCCUUAUUAUUGCCACUAAAAGUAAUUACUUUUAGUGACAUUUAUUUAGCGGCCUAUACUAUUGCCAUUAAAGCUACCUUAGAUAUAUAGAGAAUUUCACAUCGUUUUUUCAAGCUAAAUAUAGAAGAAAACAAAAUCUGCUAUAUAUAUAUAGAGAGAUUUUUUUAGCUAUGUUUUCCUCAAAGCUAUACGAAGCUAAUUAAAUCAAACUCAAGUUUAUCUUGCUGGGUGCUUACCAAUGAGAAUGAGAGAUUGAGAGAU
rnacentral:lncRNA from 1 species